rnacentral:misc_RNA from 1 species
AACGCAUCUUGCGCUUCUUGGUAUUCCGAGAAGCAUACCUGUUUGAGUGUCAUUAAAUUCUCAAAUCACAACUUUUUGUGGCUUGGAUAGUUGGGUAUUUGCCUGUUCUAAUAGACUGGCUUACCUUAAAUAUAUAAGUGGUUAGUUUAGAAACUUAUUGGGUGUUGUAAAUAUGUUCAAUACAUCUAUGGUUCUGAAUUAUGCUAUAUAAUGAUUGAUAAUUGAUGAUUUUGACCUCAAAUCAGGUAGGAUUACCCGCUGAACUUAA